rnacentral:rRNA from 1 species
GACGAACGCUGGCGGCGUGCUUAACACAUGCAAGUCGAACGGUGAAGCGAGUGCUUGCACUCGUGGAUCAGUGGCGAACGGGUGAGUAACACGUGAGUAACCUGCCCAUCACUCUGGGAUAAGCACUGGAAACGGUGUCUAAUACUGGAUACGACCAACCCUUGCAUGGGGUGUUGGUGGAAAGAUUUAUCUGUGAUGGAUGGACUCGCGGCCUAUCAGCUUGUUGGCGGGGUAAUGGCCCACCAAGGCGACGACGGGUAGCCGGCCUGAGAGGGUGACCGGCCACACUGGGACUGAGACACGGCCCAGACUCCUACGGGAGGCAGCAGUGGGGAAUAUUGCACAAUGGGCGAAAGCCUGAUGCAGCGACGCCGCGUGAGGGAUGACGGCCUUCGGGUUGUAAACCUCUUUCAGCAGGGAAGAAGCGAAAGUGACGGUACCUGCAGAAGAAGCACCGGCUAACUACGUG